rnacentral:lncRNA from 1 species
AAAAUUCCAACUUGAUUCGGUCAUAUCCAGGCCGGUAAACCAAUAUAUAUAUGUUACACAGGAUGCCAAGGUCCAAACCAUGAAAGUUCAUUACAUGUCAUUGAUGCAUUUCCUAUAAUAUGUACCAUGAUACACCAAAAGCUUCAAAGUUUAGUACAACAUCAUAAUAAUAAGUUCUUCCACAUCCUUCCAAGAUAUACGUCAAAUAUACAAUGGGAAAUUAAUUCAAAUAGUCAAAAGAUGCCUUGACACUGACAUAUAAUCAAGGAAUUGUACAAAAUAAUUCACACUUAAAUAAUUCGAAUCAACAAAACAAGAGAUUCAAGAAAGAUCAACAUAGAAUAUACAUAUUGUCCAGAUCGACAGAUAUACUGAAUUUUCUCUUCUCUAAUAUGAGAUCUUCUAUGUACCAUAAUCUCCAACAGAAAUCUGGACAUAAAUAAACGCCUCUUGUCUCAGUAAAUAGAUUGAAUAGCACACACAUACUUGCAACUCGUGAUCUGCAUGACAGCACAAAAAACACAAACAAAUGAAAGCAAUGAGACCAUGAAUCAUGGGCAAGCUACUACAAGCAACCACAACAUCAAAUUCAGGCCAUGUAGGUUGUUGUAACACACAAUGCUAAUAGCUAGGGGAGUGACAUUUAUAGAUGAUACCGACAUCGAAGGUAAACAGAGCAACCAACUGUUAAUUCUGUUGUUUCCCAAAAACCUAAGAAAGUUGUAUCUACACAGAUUGAUUAGAAACCAAGAGAGGAACUUUAAAUAGCAGAUGUGAGAGAAUGAAGCAAAUGCCAUACUUGAAGAUCUUUGCAGAAAAAUAUUGUCCAAUUUGGGAACUACACAUGUAGCAUUGAGAAGGCGUCCAUAACUACAUCAUCAUUUAUCUAAAAUAAGGCGACAUGCUUUGUUCAACACACAUAGUUUAGUAGUAAGUACAAAAAAAGAGAAAAGCAUAUGUGUAUUUUAGAGCCGGAAGGAAUGUAAGAAGCAUAAGUACUAUUUGCAGAUUAUUAUUCAAAAGCUAGAAAAUAAUCUCAAGAGCUAAACAGAGUUGGUCUAACUUAAUAUCUAGGAUUAGAACCCCGGGCUUAUGACAGCGGCGGAAUCAGUCAUUCUGAUGGCACAAUUGGGCUGAAUCGAUGCACGACAACAUGUAAAAAAUUGCAAAGACUUUAGUUAUUCUCUGCUAGCUAUUACAUGUUCAUUAGAGCUUUUAGAUAUAUCAGCUGAAAGUGGAAGAUGAUGUAAAAAGAUGGGACUGAAUCAACACAAGAAAACAUGUAAAAAGUUCAGUGUUGGUCAAUCGAAUCACGUAGUACAUUAUGCUUCCACUUUCAGGUUUACAUAACUUGAAAGAUAACCUCAACUUAACAUCUAGAACAUGACUUGUAUGAUUAGUAAAGAUUCUCAUUGGAAAACACAUGUCUUGGAAAGGUAACGUCAACUUAAUAUCAAGAACACGACUUGUAGGAUUAGUAAGGAAUCGCAUUGGAAAUCUCAGCAGACUAAUAGGAUACUUAUAUUUUCCCACCAAUAAAAGAAGUUCCUCUAGAUAAAUAAUUCAUACAACAGUGGCAAAUAAUGUAGUGACAGUUUAGUGGCAUUUGAAGACAAAUUGCAAUAACAGUAGUUUGAUAUCUUAAAUGGUAGGGCCGUAAUAAAAUAAGCUGAUUUUUAUGAUCAAGUGUAUGAUGAGAGGAAUACAUAAUGGCAUGGAUGGCUUUGGUACUCAGAUGCGGUGCUGCUUAUCCCUUUUGUUGUAGACACUUAAGACGGAAACCAUCUGCAAGAGAAUAAUAAUAAUAAUAAUUAGAGUGCAAUACCAAAGGGCAUGGGCAUUGUUGCAGAUUGGCAAUCAAAAUCUCAAGCACUAAAAUAAGUCGGUGUCUCUUUGAUUUAGCUGUACUUGAAGGAAACUGACCUCCCAAGGAGCAAAUUAUCAGUGCAAUACCAAAGGGCAUGGGCAUUGUUGCAGAUUGGCAAUCAAAAUCUCAAGCACUAAAAUAAGUCGGUGUCUCUUUGAUUUAGCUGCACUUGAAGGAAACUGGCCUCCCAAGGAGCAAAUUAUCAAAAACCUGCAUGUCCAUAGUAUAUCUAUCAGUGACAGAAACUCAUAUAUUCAGACCUCUUAAAGACGCAACCAAGUACACAUACUUGAUCUAAAACAUUCACAGUUUGUAGUUUCAAUGGCAGCAACUCAUAUAUUCAGUUCACACUUUAGUCAUUCAGCAAAAAAAUCAUUCCAGUGUCCCAGGAACACACUGAAUCUUGUCGUACAGAUCAUUAGAUGCAAAUGCCAUGAAGAUGAUCAAAAGGCACAUCAGAAGCUCAGGCUAGAGCUCAAUUUCUUUAGGCAGUGUUCUCCUCCGUCUGUGCUGCGGUUGUUGGUUGGGGGAGAGAGGGAGAGGUGAACCUGUAGGUGUGGAGAUGAAGCCGGAAUUGCAGGCACCACAGCUCUGACCAUCUCCAGGGCAUCCGGCACACCUAGCAGCGGCCGAUGCGUCUGAAGUUCAUAGCAAGUAGGGAUCUUCCCAUGCAGAGUAUAUGUCCUGGAAAGAAGAGAAAAGAAGGUGCAGCACCACAAUACAUAAUUUGUUAGAUUAAAGAGUACUACAAUAUCACAAUAAUUUGAAGGAGCAAUUGUAUGCCUAAUCAUGAUCUAAACAGAUGUGACUUUGGUACAUGUAUUUCUUUGAUCAUGAUGGUCCAGUUUGAUUAUAACGACGGUCCAGUUUGAUUAUAAUCAAAUAAAUCAACCAGCUAUGCAAGCAUGAUAGUUAUUAACAGAGAGACACAUCAUGCGAGUUCAAAAUUUCAUGAUAGGUGUUUACUAUAUUUUCUAAGAUUGCAUGCAUCUUAUUAGAACCAAGAAAUACAUGUAUACGCCAGCAGCUAGUGCUCCCAGGAACUGAAUAUGCUUAUGCAGCGCCAUGAAUAUCUAAAUAUACAUUAUAUCAAAUAUAUAUAUGAUGUAUUUACUUUGUUUUUUUCAGCUGUCUUGGUCAAAAGUUCUAAAUCUGACUUAUAUUCUACAAAAACAUUUACCUGGCAUGAUCCAUUGUCUUGCUGCAAAUAUAAAUAUAUAUUUUUAAUCAAUCAUUUGUACAUCUCUAAACUCUACGAUCUAGCCACGAUUACUAUGCAAUUAUGAAGUUUUCAACUUUCUCUUCUCUUCAUUUAUAAUUAGAACAUGACACACUACUUUGAUAUAUCCUCUUCUUGACACAGAGAACCUAAAAACAUAUGAUUGAAUAAUACAGAACAAAGAAAAUUGUUGAUGGGAUUGAGCCAUCCUACUGCUGGCUGUUGCAACACAUGGCUACAAUUCGUAUAAUUUCAGUGUAAGUAGCAAGCAGCCAAGCACAUAGGUAUAGAGUCUUGGUAUUGCAUAACAACAGAGUAUGAUUAAUUUCCAGUCUCACCUACAAAUCUAGCUUGUGUAGGAUACAGUAAUUCUGAUAUCCAAAGACCAAAAAGUAGUGCCUGAAUAAUACUACGAAAAACAUGGCCUGAAUAAAAAAUUACUCAUAAGACUGCAUGCAUAGCAGAUUGUUGACAGGAAAUAAAUUGUACUAAAAGGAUGAACAAAUCUGAUUUUAUGGGAACGGACCGCAACAAUCAUGAAGAGUGGAGUAUAUUAUACCUCAUAUGUGCUGCCAAAGGUAACGCCUCCAAGAUAUCAAACGGGUGCUCAAGGUUGUAUGACUGAUGUGAACAUGGGAGUGAUGAAGAUGGCGAUAGUGGUCGACCACUGCACAAAGGUGGCCGCCGUUCAAACGAAUAACACACCUG